CUGUAACCUUGAUGUCGAUGAGAUGUACUUUUUGUGUGAAGUUUCUUAAAAUCACAAUUUUCUACUCAACUAUUCUCUUUUUGUUCUUCUGGUUAAUGUUGAAUCUGAACAUGUUUAGUUCUGGAAUUUAAUUCAAACCUCUGAUUUUGCAUAUGUUAGAUACUUCUUUUUAUAUAGUGAAGCUUCUAGAUUUCAGUGAAGUGUAUUAUUCAUGUCAGGAGCCUUUCUCAUAUUUUAGUUGAUGAAUAGGUUUCAAGGAAGAAAAGUUUGCUUGGCAAACUGCUAAAUUCAGCUUCUGAGGCUAAAGAGCUUCAAGAAAAGUAAGGAGUUUGUUCUUUAUUUUCAGACGUGGUUUAUUUGUGAUUUUUACUUGACUAUGAGUGCUUUUUGUCAAUAACCCAAACACUUUAUUCUAUCACAGCCUGUUCGAACAGUGUGCUUUAGAGAAACUUGUAGGAUUGGCUUACGAAAAGUACCGGGUAUUUUUUCUAUUCUAUAUCCUUUCUUUAUUUAAUUGAUUUUAAAUGCGCAUUUCCCUUUUAAAAGUAUGUAAAUAUAAUUUGUCUGCGUCAUGGAUUGACACAUCAAAUUUAUUUGUGAAUAUUACAUGUAUAUCCAUCAAGUUUGUUUGUUACAGGGAAUAUGAUUUCGUCCAUGUCAAUAUAUUCUUCCACCUUAAAAUUUAUGACAAUCCUAGUCAAUCAUUUUUUCCUUUUUUACCCUACCUUUUUUAUCAACUGGAAAAAUUAGUACAAGAGGCAGGGUGACAUACCAGCCUUACCUCCGAAGGUCGAGGAAGAAAAAGAAGGAUUAGCAAAAGCUGAAAUUGAAAGUACUACUCUUGUUAUAGUGAGCCAUUACAAAAUUUAAAUUUGGGAGUACUACACUCAUUACAACAAUAGAGACAGAGGAAUGCAGUAACUCAAUUGACCCAAGAAAACUCAAGAAAAUAAUAUAACUAAGUCUGCAAGCAGGCACUAAAGACAACCAAAUACACAAGCAAAUUACACAUAGCAUGAGUAUGCAGUCACAUGUGCAGUAAAUUAAAUAAAAUAAAGUAAUGCAAUGAUGGAUCCUACAGUAGGCUGGAAAGCAAAUAUGCAAUAACCUAUGGCCUAAUAUGCAGCAGUCACACUACAUGGAAAUGAAUAAAUCCUACUGCUUUCUCUUCCAUUGUCCACUUGAGACUCAUUCUCAAAUAUAGAAAGCAAACUUUGGUAUGGAUUUAUUAUCAGAUCUGGGAGAGAUUCAUCACCGAAGUUUUGGUAAGCAUUGGAAAAGCAUCCCAGCAGGUUAUUGAAGAAGUAGACCAAUCUCAAUCAUCUACUUUGCAUUAGAAAACAAGGCUGUUUAGUCAGUUUCUUUGGGGCCUGCAGAUAGGGAUUCUCGUUCUGUCUGUAUGUAAGAUGCCAAUAAUCGUCCCCAUUAAGUCUUUAGCAUAUAAUAUUCUGCUCUAUUUAGUUUUGUUAUCUUUAUUUUUUAUUAGUCAGUCUUAGAAUCUUGUUCAGUCUUAAAAUCAUGUGACCAUUAUUAUUGAAUCUAAUGCUGUUUUAGUUGUUGAAUCUGCCGGACAUUUUGUAUGUCAAUCCUGAAGAUAUAGUUACUAACACACUAGGAAAUUCCAUAUCUUAAUAGAACGGAGAUUUUGGUAAGAUUAUUGAUGUUUGCUAUGGGAAUGCUUUAUGUACAAUUGUAAACAUAAUCAAAUAUCCCUACCCACCUAAACAAGAAAAACAAAAGAAAAGAUUAAGAAGAUCAGAGACAAAAACAUAUUAAGCCCUUGUUUGAGCCCCAUUUUGGAGGAGAAAAUGAAUUUUUGAAUAGUGUAUUGAUGGGAAAUGUAUGGCUAAAAAAUAAGAAAAAUUUUUGAUUUGCGUAUAAUAUUAUUUUAUUGAAAAAUGUGUGAUUGAAAUGGUGUCAAAUUACUGUUGAAGAAUGUAUUUUGUUGAAAAAAUGGGGCUCAAACAAGGGCUAAAUAUGAAAAAGAAGAAAAACGAACAAAGACUGGAGAUUGCUUCCUUCUCGAAAGUCUAGUUUCCUUAUAUUCACCUAUGGAUUGAAGGAACGAAAAAAAUAAUAUGACUUCUAGAAUCUAGAUCAUCUUUGGGUUGGCUUAAAAAGUUACUUAAGUUUAAUAAAUGAAUAAAUUUAAAUAAUAGUCAAUGUUGGAAAUGAUUAGUUAUUUUGAUAGUAAGGUCAGAAUUACUUUCAAAUGUGUUACCAAAAGUUAUUCGUCAUCCCUCCCAAUGGAGAUCCCUUUCGUCAAAUCCAAAACCACCCACCCAACACCUAAUCACCCAACCACCGCCUAACCACUAGUCGGUGCCGACGACAACUACGACGACGGCCAUAAGGCCCCAUUUGACAAACCCCAAAUCAUCGGCAGCCACAACUUGACCCACACAUAGGCGGUGCCCUAGGUGGAAACCUUAGCAUCACCAUCGAAAUGCUAUAAGUAGAGGCAUGCUUUUUUGGGUUGACAUGGAGGUCCUAGGCGUCGGCAAACAAGGCGGAAGGGGGGAGUCGAGUUACAUUAGGCACCAUCUGGGAUCCCAUCCCAGUUUACGCAAGAUGUGGCCGUCCUCCUGAUAGACGUGCCUGACCGGCGGACUUUGCAACCAUUCUGACGUCGAAGGGUCUGUGGCGAGGAGCACGCUCCGCUUCGACAGCUCGUCCGUCGACGUGUGAAGCCCACAUGUCUUCGCUGGAGAGUCUGAAAAAUCCUCUCAUCGAUUUUGGUUCAUCCUGCCAGCCUGUUCUAUCGUUAGAUACGUCAUUUAUACACAAUCAGGGGAAAAAGUUUGCUGAUGCAUACAGUAUGAUGGUUUUCAAUUGUCGUUUUAGAAUUGAGGGGAAGGAGUUUGCAGUGAUUGUUAAUGAUUUCAUAACUGUUAUGAGGACAUAAUAGAGUUCGAAGAUAUUGAAUGCAAUCUACAUGGAGAGGUUUGGUGCACUCUGGAUGGUGAAUAUGGUGGAUAAGUUGAGGGUGGCUAGUAAGUUGAAGGAUUUUGUCACUAAGUUCAAUGAGUCUUCAAGAGCUUUUUUGGCACAACGUUGUGAGAACAGUCGUCCUAGGUACUUGAUGGUACAUUGUAUGUGAAGGGGCAUCAGAAAGGAGUUGUGAUGGUGCCGAAAGACUUGAAUGGAGAGGGAUCGGCAUCAAUUUUGCUGGUGUUUUAGGUAGUUGUCAAUUCAUUCGUCACUAGAGACGAGACCAAAUGUCGAAUGGUGCCCGAAAGUAAUCAACAAGGAAUGACUUAAUGCCGGAGUUACGACGAACUUACAGGCUCCGCAGAAUGUUGAUCAAUGGGUGCUAAUGCGAAAGGAAAUGGUGAUUAAUGGGAGUGAAAAUGAAGGUUAAUUUAUGUUGCCUAAGGUUAUGGAAGCAAAUGCAGAAGGUGCACAUGGUAUUUUUUUGAAUAGCGCUGAAAUAAAGGCCCGUGUCUAGGCAUUAAACGGGGAGUUGCUGGAAUCAAUCAGGCUAUUGGGAAGUGGGUUUGAAGCGGGCUCCUAGAUAAUUUGUCACAAGUGUGGGGUGGGCAUGGAUGAGCCUUCGACGAUGGGAAAAAAGUAGCGAGUUUGGCUCCUAAGGAGUUAAACCGAAGGUGGUCCAUACGAAAGAAAAACAGGUGAUGAUUAAGUCCAUUUACGAUUCUCAGGCAUGGAUUGUAGCGGUGUACUCUAGUAAUGACGAUAGGGUCGGUUUAGUGGGGUUGUAUAGGGAUGUUAAAGACUCAGGGAUCAAAGCAAAUCGGGAGGUGGUAACUUGGUCCGAGGAAGGGGAGCCGAGUAUGGCGAAUAAGGAUUCAGUGACAAUGGGUGCGAUGGACACGAUUUCGUUAGUAGAGGGAGUUUUGUCAAUUGAGCAAGCGACGGGGUAUGUAUUGGUAGAGAAUUCAGUUUCAGCAAUUGUGAAAGAGCACGAGGCGACAAGCCCGACAACUAUGAUUGUGAACACAUACAAUUGGAGGUACUCUAAGUGCCUCAAAGGAAGGGACUUAGAAAAUGAAAAAGCUCUAGUGGUGUAGGUAGAUGGAGUCAAGAAAGGAGAAAUAGACAGUGAUGCAGGACAGGUGGAGGAAGUGAAGGGACAUAUCUAUGAUCGUUUGGAGUGUUGUCACGCAAAAAAUAUAGAAUCCACUCAUGGAGGGAGAAGUCCUUGCCGUAUCAGGUACUAAUCUAUUUUGAAGUUAGACCCCCCCACCUUGGAAUUAGGUUCUUCAAAAAAUUCAGGACUUCAGUAAGAUGGUUGGUGUGUCUUGUGAUGGAUAUGAAAGUAGACUCUUGUAAUUAUUUGAGGAACUGGAGGCUAGUAGGGGCAGGGAAUGAGUACACAAGGAGUUAAAUCAAGAAGAAGGGGUGAUUUUAACUUAAGUAACUCGAAUGGUCAGUAAACCAUGGCGUUAAGGGUAGUGACUCAAAGAAAGGAAUGUUAAGGAGGAUGAUGGAGUGCUAAAAUGAUCCUAAAAAUUAUUAACUGGAAUGUGAGAGGGCUUAAUGAAUAGGUGUUCGAAUCCUGUUAAGGGGAUGGAGAGCGGAUCUUGUCUGCCCACAAGAAACUAAGUCGGAGUUCCUCUCGAGGGCCGUGGUUAGUAACUUAUAGGGGACAUGAUGUAGGGUAUCAAUUUUUGGGGUCAUCAAGGGCUUUAGGAGGCAUGCUAAUCAUGUAGGACAUUAGAGUUUUCGAUAUGGAGGAGGUUAGUGUGGGGUUAUUCUUUGUAUCGCACUCAUUUAGAAAUAUUGGGGAUAGAUUCAAAUGGAUGUUUAUAGGAGUUUAUGGGCCUAACUAUGAUGAGAGUAGAGGGGGUUUGUGGGAUGAAUUGGCUGGUAUGAUAGCUUAGUGGAAUCUCCCAAUGUGUAUUGGGGGUGAUUUUAACAUGAUACGAUUUCCUUUUGACGAAUCUAACGACGGGAGACUAACGGGGGCUAUGAAGGACUUUUCAGAUUUUAUUUGGGAGAAUAUGUUGGUGGAUAUGCCAAUGAUUGGAGGAGAUUUUACUUGGUCAUCUAAUCGAGACCAUUAUGUUCUAUCUUAUAUAGAUCGAUUCUUGAUUAGUGGAGAGUGGGAGGCUAAGUACUCAGUUGUCGCGCAAAGGAGAUUAGGGAGAGUGUAUUCCGAUCAUUUCCUAUUCUUUUAUCUUGGAAUACAAGGGAUAGUGGAAGAAUGUCUUUUAGGUUUAAGAAGAUGUAGUUAAAAGUAAAAGGCUUUAGGGAGUGAGUAUGGACUUGGUGGGCUUCAUAUGAUGUCAAGGGAUCUCCCAGUUAUGCGUUAGAUUAGAAGUUGAAGGCUUUGAACGGGGAUUUAAAGAGGUGGAACGAGGAGGUGGUGAGCAAUGUAAACUGUUGUAAAAAUUAAAUGUCUUUCAGACAUGGAAGAGUUGUUUAGGCGGGAGGAGAGUCAAGGUUGGUUAGGGAAGAGGAGAGACGUGGAGUAUUAAGGGGAGAGUUGGAGAGGUUGGUGGAGAUAGAGGACAUUUCUUGGGGUCGCAUGGUUGAAAGAGGGGGACAAAUGCACCAAGUUUUUCCAUAGGGUCGCUUAUUCUAACGGGCGCAACAAUUCUAUCACAUUGUUGGAGGUAGAUGGGGUUACUUAUUAGGAUCCAAAGUAUAUCGGGACCCAAAUGGUGAGAUUUUAUCAGAAUCUUUAUUGAGAGCUGUUUGAGUGGAAGCCAGAGUUAGAGGGAUUGAAUUUUUCUACCAUCACGGAGGAGGAUGGUGGUUGGUUAAAGAGACCACUUGGGGAUGAUGAAAUUAAGGAGGUGGUAUUUAGUAUGAAUGAUGAUAAGGUAUCAGGAUCGGACGGUUUCUCGUUCUCAUUUUAUAAGGCGUGCUGGGAAGUGGUGCGACCAGACAUUAUGGAUGUUCUCACUUAUUUUUUUGAGUGUGGUAGGUUUUUGAAAAGUUUUAAUGUGACAUUUAUUGUGCUGAUUCCCAAGAAAUCAGGAGCAACUGAUAUUAAGGAUUUUUGCCCUAUUAGUUUAGUCAGUGAGUGUACAAGAUUAUUGCGAAAGUUCUGGCAAAUAGAUUAAAAGAAGUGCUAAGGAAAGUUGUCUAAGUUUCAGAAUGCUUUUGUGAAAGGGCACGAGAUUUUAGAUUCUGUACUUUUAUAGCGAAUGAAUGCAUUGACUCAAAUUGCUCUUGGGAGUUCUAGUGAUGCUAUGUAAGCUCGAUAUUUAGAAGGCUUAUGAUCACGUGAACUUGGGGUUCCUUUUGUACUUGCUUAGGUGAUGUGGCUUUGGGAUAAGUGGUGUAAGUGUUAUCAAUUUUAUAUCUCUACUAUAUUUUCAGUUUUGGUCAACGGUACUCUUGAAGGUUAUUUUAGGAGCAACAGGGGCUUAAGGAAAGGGGAUCCUUUGUUUCCAUUACUGUUUGUUAUUGUAAUGGAAGCUUUCAGUAGAAAGCAGGAGAAAGCUUUGAUGGAGGUUUGUUUGGGAAAGGUGAGCGAUGGCCCGAUCCUUUAAUGCAUCCUGCUGCUCCGCGGAGAAUUCCCCUCGCGGAUGGGGGAUCGAGGCUCGCUGUACGAUGCUAUCGAGUUCCCCCCUUAAGGGGCUUUACGGUUGGUCACGUGCAGGUGUCCCAUUUGUCAUUUACAGAUGAUACACUGAUCUUAUGGGAUGUAGAUGAUAAGUAAUUUAGGAACUUGCGCUGUUUGCUUCUAUGCUUUGAAGCGGUGUUUGGAUUGAAGAUAAAUCUGGCGAAAUUUGAGACUAUACCAGCAGAAGAGGUUGCUAAUGUAAAGGAGUUGGUUGAUAUAUUGGGUUGUAGGGUUGUGCAGUUGUCUAUGUCAUAUCUAGGGCUCUCUUUAGGGGUACGAUGUAAAAGUUUACAUAUUUGGAAUUGUAUUGUAGAAAGGGUGGAGAGGAGGUUAGCGGGGUGGAAACGUAUGUACCUAUCAAAGGGAGGUCGGUGUACUCUCAUUAAAUCUACUCUCUCUAAUCUUCCGUCUUAUUUUUUAUCAUUGUUUCCUAUUCCUAUUGUAGUAGCAAAUAGAUUAGAGAGGAUUUGAAGGGAAUUUCUUUGGGGAGGGUUGGGGGAGGAGAGGAAAGUUUAUUUGGUUAAUUAGGAUGAUGUUUGCUCUCCUAUGACGAUGGGGGUCUUGGAUUUAGGAGCCUUGUUUUGUUUAAUAAGGCUUUAUUGGGCAAGUGGUUGUGGCGAUUUGGAAUGGAAAUGGAGUGUUUUUGGAGAGAAAUCAUAGGGGCGAAGUAUGGUGUGACGGAGGGGGGUUGGUACUCGGUUAAGGUUCGUGGUUCUUAUGGGGUGAGUUUGUUGAGGUAUACUUGACGAUGGAGUGACCUCCAGGAUAGAUUGAUUUUUGCGGUGGGGAAUGGUAAUAAUAUUAGAUUUUGAGAUGAUUGUUGGUGUGGAGAUCAACCGCCAAAAUUGGGGUUUCCUUGCAUCACAUUGCCCUUGGGCCUUCUGCUACGGUGAAUUAUGUAUUAAGACAUUCACAAUAGGAGUUAUAGUUGGAAUAUUACUUGGUUUACAAGAUUGAGAAUUUGAUGAUUAUGUGCUGUUCUCCUUACAUGAAGUGGAAAUUCGAGUAGGAGGGUGAUCAUAGCAAGUGGAGGUUGGCACAUGAUGAUAUUUUUUCAGUUUGCACUUAUUUUAGAUCCCUUUUGGGACCUGUUUGAGAGUUCAUUCCCCUGGUAAAAGGUUUGGCAAUGUAAAUUGUCUCAAUGGGUGGCAAUUUAAACAACUUGUUCAUUCAUUGUGAUAGUGUUCGUUGGUUGUGGAAUAGUAUUCUAGCGUCUCAAUAUAUAGAUUGAGUGUUGCCUAGGCGCAUAGAAGAUGUGUUGCAUGCAUGGAGGAGAAAAUUUCGUGAUAAGGAUAGCAAGUUUGUAAGGGAUCUUAUCCCGCAAUGCAUUGUAUGGUGUGUGCGGAGAGAAAGGAACAGUCGCUAUUUAGAAGAUCAAACAUGGACGACAGAGCAAAUCAAAGGAUUGUAUUAUCUGACUUUGUAUACUUGGUUUAAUGCCGCAACUUCUAAUCUUAUAGAAGGACUACCUAAUUUCUUACUGUUUCUUUCUUGUUUAAAUUGAUAAUGCACUUCCUGUGUAUCUUCUUUUGAUUAAUAAAAUUACCUGAUUACCUAUAAAAAAAAGUGUUAUGAACUAUGUGUCUAAUUAAGGAAUAAACAUGAUGUAUGGUAGGAAUAUAAAGUCUUGAAUUAUUUUCUUGUUAGAGAGGAUUAUUUCCUUUUGAGAAAUAACCUCUUCAUGUAUAUAUAUUUGGUGAAUAGUUCCAAAUCAAUUAACAUGGUAUCAGAGCUAGGUUCUCAAAAUUAGGGCUUGCGAGUUUAAGAAAAUUUGUGGAAUUGUUCUCGGUGGUGGCUUUUUUCUGAGUCGGUGCUUUCUGUGUUGGAUCGACACUUAUCGGAGGUAAUUGUUGGUGGUUGAAGAUCAGGAGAGCCUUCUGUAGCAGCGGAAAUUGGGUUGCAUCGACUGUUCAUUGUCUUUUUGUGAUUUUGACUCUGUUUCUUUCCGGCUCCACGACAGACAACCCUGUUGACGUUGCGUGUAGCGGGUGUUGGGUGAGAGAUCGUCGUUUUCUCUUGACUUCUCUGGCUUUAUCGUUUCCUCUUCUCCUUUCGGUGGGUGAGUCGUCGUGUGCAGCAAUCUUCUGUGGCACCUACUAUAAACCAUCACUUAUCGUCUCCAUCUGCUGCUUCACCUCAGGAUUCGUCACCCUCUCUUGAUCCCAGUCUUGAUCUUCCCAUUACCCUUCAAAAAGGUAAACGAUCACGUACUUAUCCUGUUUCUUCUUUUGUUUCUUACCAUGUAUUGUCACAGUCUUCCAAGUCCUGUAUUGCCUCUUUAGAGUGCGUGUCAUUACCAUAAUCUAUGGUUGAGGCUUUGUCCCAUAGUGGCUGGCGAGCGGCCAUGCAGGAAGAAAUGAUGGCCCUGGAACAUAAUCAUACCUGAGAGUUGGUUCAUUUACCCCUUAAUAAAAAGGCAAUCGGAUGUAAAUGAGUGUUUACAGUCAAGAUGAACCCUGAUGGAUCUGUUGCUCGAUUGAAGGCUCGUUUGGUUGCUAAGAGGUAUGCUCAGACUUAUGGUGUGGACUACUCUGAGACUUUCUCUCCAAUUGCUAAGCUGGCUUCUGUUCGGUUAUUCAUUUCUCUUGCUGCUACUUUUCAUUGGCCACUUCACCAACUAGAUGUUAAAAAUGCAUUCCUUCAUGGUGAUUUACAAGAAGAAGUUUACAUAGAGCAACCACCCGGGUUUGUUGCUCAGGGGGAGUCCAGUAAGGUCUGCAAACUGUGAAAGUCAUUGUAUGGACUGAAACAAUCACCACGUGCUUGGUUUAGGAGAUUUAGUGAGGUGGUUAUUGAAGUUGGCUUGCAAAGAAGUGUAUAUGAUCAUUCAGUAUUCUUUAGACAGUCUAUAGUUGGGUGUAUUUUGUUAGUGGUAUAUGUUGAUGAUAUUGUGAUUACUGGGAGUGAUAGUAGUGGCAUAAGUAUGUUGAAAGCUUUCCUAGGCACAAGUUUCAGACAAAAGAGUUAGGUCCCUUAAAAUAUUUCUUAGGAAUAGAGGUCUCUCGAAGUGGUAAAGGAAUUUGUUUGUCUCAAAGAAAAUAUGUUCUAGACCUACUAGAUGAGACAGGUUUAAUGGAAGUAAAACCAGUUGAUGCUCCCAUGAUAUCAAAUGUGAAACUUGGGCCUGAAGAUGGAGAUGUAUUUGUGGAUGCAGAGAAACACAAGAGAGUGGUGGGAAAAUUGAACUAUCUCACGAUUACUCGUCCAGAUAUUGCCUUUUCAGUUAGUGUUAUUAGUCAAUUUAUGUCAUCUCCCAGAACUUCAUAUUGGGAUGCUGUAAUUCUUAUAUUGAAAUAGUUUAAAGGAGCUCCAAGGCAUGGAAUUCUUUAUAGAGACCAUGGUCAUUGUAGAGUUGAGGGUUUUUCAGAUGCAGACUGGGCAGAUUAUCCUGUUGAUAGGCGUUUUACUACAGGGUAUUGUGUAUUCGUUGGAGGUAAUCUGGUCUCUUGGAAGAGUAAGAAAUAAAGUGUUGUAGCUCGAUCAAGUGCAGAAUCUGAAUACCGAGCUAUGGCACAGGUAACUUGUGAACUUAUGUGGCUACAUUACUUACUUGGGGAGAUUGGCAUCGAUAAGUCCUACUCUAUGAACUUGUGGUGUGAUAAUCAAGCUGCUAUUCUCAUUGCUACAAAUCCGGUAUUUCAUGAGAGAACAAAGCACAUAGAGGCAGUCUGCCAUUUUGUUUGUGAAAAGGUUAUAGCAAAUUUCGACCAAGCAUGUUAGGGUAGGAGAUCAAUUAGUCGAUAUGUUUACUAAAGCGUUAACUGAGACUCGAGUAAACUAUAUUUGUAACAAGUUGGGCAUGAUUGAUAUUUAUACUCCAGCUUGAGGGGGGGUGUUAUGAAUUUUGUGUCUAAUUUAGGAAUAAAUGUGAUGUAUGAUAGGAAUAGAAAGUCUAGAACUAUUUCUUUGUUACAAAGGAUUAUUUCCUUUUGAGAAAUAACCUCUUCAUGUAUAUAUAUUUGGUGAAUAGUAAUGAGAAACGAAGGUUUUUUCCAAAUCAAUUAACAAAAAGUAAAAUGUCCAAACAUGAUUGGAAACAAAGAGUUCAGAAACAUGUUAUUUUCUUCAGUAAAUACCGACAUCUAUCAAAUAUCACUUACUCUUUGGAGAUGUCAUUUCUUCUGUGGGGGAAGAGGAAUUGAGGGUUGUGCUGUUUGUUCAGAACCUUCGAUGGUUAUGUAAGGUUCUUGAUAAGGGAGGCUACAUAGUUGAGAGGAAUUAGUACCUUUGGAUCCUCAAAGCUUGAUGAUUCAAUGAGCCCUGGGAUUGGCUCAGUUUCAAUGCUUUGAGUGUAUAGGAUAUGACAGGAAAAAUCAAAAGAUUUUGGAUAGUGAAGUACCCUAGGGGGUCAGUUGUGAAUGAACUAGGAGGAUGCUAACGGAAGUCAAGCAGCACGAGUAGGGUUUGAUUCCGCGGUGGAUGGUAUGGUCAUAGUGAACUGAGGAAAGGAUGGAUUCUGAAAAGUUUUACUAGCUGGGCUUGUAAAUAGCAGGGAGCUUAACUGGAAAAAAUGUUCAGUAAUUCAGUGCUGGAAUUCAUGAAAGAAUGUGGAGAGAAGGGGAACGUUUCUGGUUUGAUGUAGAGAAGUAGAUUGGAAGAAUUCAGUAGUUUCAAACUGACAUAGAUCAAAUCAGAUGUCUUCAUCAACCAUGGGAAGUACAGCUCUUGCAGCAUAGUAAUAUUGAAGAAUAAAAUUCUGGGGCAAUGCCUGGUCUUAUCCCAAGCAAUCAUGGAUCAAAGGUGUCAAAUGAACUUCGACUUGAGUUUGUGAGGACCUGCCUAAAUUAUCUGCCUAACCACUUGAUGAAAAAGUUUAAGUUGUUAGAGAUGGUCACAUAUAUAUCAUUUAAAUAUUUUCUUCAAUGCGCCCUCUCAGGUGCUGGCGGGAUUUAUUUUUUUCAUCAAAGCCUAACACGUGCACAAUCUCACUAAAUGCAUGGUGGCUAGACUUGAAAUUAGGACCUGUACUUUGAUAUUAUACCAUGGGGAACCAUUUGAUUUAAAAGCUUAAACUGUUGAAGAGGGCCAUGUGAAUAUCAUUUAAAUCUUGUUUUGAACAUAACCUAAUAGCAAUCUGACCAUAAAUUGAUACAAUUUAGACACGUGCCACGAGAAUAACCAAAUGUCAACAAGUAUGGGAAUUACUGAAAUGCCUUAGACUAAGCAAAGAACUAACAUCUUAGACAAUGCCAAGACACGAUAUGCCACAGUGAAUGCUUCUAGAUGGACUUAGGAGGAUUAUUAUUCUGCAGGAGUAACUGUUAAUUGUGAUGGAUAGACAGCUGAUUUUUUAGGUUUCUGGUAGACCACUGAAUCAUUAGAUUCUGUAAAUUUGUAAUUGUUCUUCACCAACUUUGAUGCUUCAUUAAUAAGGUUAUUCUUUCCUUUGUGAACAAUGAGGAUUACUAAUUUUAUGUCUUGGGAUCUUCCACAAUGAUAUAACUUACUUAUGAACUCUCUCAGCAUUUAAACCAUAAGAUUUCUUCUUUUCCUUUUUAUAUGUUUACUUAAUCUGACUUCUUUCAAUUUCGUUUCAUGAUUAUUGUGGCCUUUUAUUCUGCAUAUUGGAUAGAUGAUGAAUGCUGCUCCUGAAUAAUCUUGACAGUAAUAAGUAGGUUAUCUGACUGGCUUGUGUGCAUGCAAAGUAACAAGGGUAAUUUUGGUGAGCAGUGAUAUGCACUUCAAAAGUCUGUUGGUUUUUGAGUUUUUGGUCUAGAGCUUUAUGAUUCUGGAGAAGUUCCUUCGGGCAUUUUUAUAUUGCAAUGGUUCUAGGAGUAUUUUUGUAUGGGGAGACAGGUUGGACACGCAUAGUUAGGGAUUGAUGAUGCUAUUUACAGUUGAUGUUUUCAGUCUUCACUUUGUACAAUUGUUAAGGAUUUAUGGUUUUAGAUAUGUUGGAUUUUAUGCGCAAUAUUAAAGAGAUGAAAAAGAUAAUCAACACAAGAAUUUACGUGGUUCGGCGGUGUGCCUACGUCCACAAGAGCGAAGCGAAGAUUUCUUUAUUCAGUAGUGAAAAAUAGGGUUACAACAUAUUAUUUAUUCCGUUCCGUUAGAUGCGCUCAGCUCCUCUCACUCCACUCCGCUCCGCGCCGGCAUCGGCCCAUUUGAUCCAAUAUCUGUGUUCCACUCUAUAUGAACUACAUGCACAACAAGAUACUAGUAUGGUGGGUAAGAUCAAUUUAUAGCUCCUUAGAAUGAGAAUUCAAAGGUGAAAAUUGUGGAACCAAGUUGCCCUAUGCAAUGCCUCUAUCUUCUUUUGCUUGAUUUUUACCUCCAACCUUUCACUAAUAAGCAAGAAUUAUCCUUUGGACGAUUUCAAUUCAUUCCAGAGAGGCUAUGCUGUAUACUAGAGUAAAGAGUAAAAAAGAAACCUCAAUUUACUUUUAGAUAGUUCCUUCUGGCCUCAAAGUAAAACACUCUCUAAGAUUUCGUACUCAGGCAAGUUUGUUGGUCUGUGUGAAAACCAGCAUGCAGUUCAAUGAUUACCAUUUUUCUUAGGGUUUAAAGUUAUUUUAAUACUUAGGUUCUUUUUGUUAGCCAUAUAUAAUUGCAUGUAUUUUGGGAUUUGAUUGUAAUUUAUAUUAGGUUAAUAGGCUAAUUAGUUCUUACCAUAGUUAGAAAACUUACCAUAAUUGUUGUAAAUCUUAUCUUUAUAAGAGAGGUACUCCCUCGAUGGAAGGGAUAAUUUUUGAACAAUUCAAACCAUUUUAACAUGGUAUCAAAGCCCUCCCUUUAGAAUUUCCCUUCGAGUCUCGAUUUACUUUUGGUGCGCUUCAAUUGAGGAAUUUUUCUUGGGGUGUCGGCAAUUUUUUGUUCAUGAAAUUUCUCUGGAGCAAGCUUCUUGGUCAGCAAAAUCGGCAAUUGGAGUUGUCUUCUUGGUCGAUAGAUCCCACUAUUGGAUUUUCUUGGUGGUGGCUUGUUGAUUUGUGAUUGUGCAGGGAAUUUUUUUAGCUUUCCUCUUCUCGGGCUCCACAUGGUAUAUCUUCUGUGUCAAAUAAAUUCUGCCGACGAUUGCGUCUCGGGUUCUCGCCGUUCGCUGUUCGAAUUUUGUUUGACAGAUUCUUGGAUUGCGUCUUCGCAUAGGGCGUCGUCUACAGGAAGUCGUCGUUUUUUCUCUACUGGACACAGACAGACGAGUGAGCAGGUAAUCUUUUGGGUUUCAGAAUUCGGGCUGUGCAUAUUGGGCUUGGGCUUGAAUCCUUUUAAUAUCAUUUUGGAUUUAUCUCUUAAAAUUUAGACCGUUAAUCUUGGAUUUGUUUUGGACAUUUUCUUCGGAUUGGGCUUGAGAUUAUUUAGUUGGACUUGAUAUUUUAUUGGACUUGUAUCUUUGCAUUUCUUCAUGUCUGGAGAAAAUUCAAUUAUUCGUUUUAAUGGAAAAAAUUACUCGAGUUGGGAAUUUCAGUUCCGGAUGUUUGUGAAAGGGAAAGAAUUAUAGGGUCAUUUGGACGGCUCUUCUAAGGCUCCGACCGAUAUCAGAGAACUUAGCUCAUGGGAAAGUAAGGACGCCAAGAAUAAGUUCUGUUGAACCACACAUGGUCAACAAUCUUCGUUCGUUCACUACUGCUAAAGAAAUGUGGGAUUAUCUCAGGCGUGUUUACUAUCAAGAUAACUCUGCCCAGAAGUUCCAAUUGGAGUUAGAAAUUGCUAACUAUAAAUAGGGUAAUCUCUCUAUUGACCAAUUUUAUGCUGGAUUUCUUAAUUUAUGGAGUGAAUAUUCUGGAAUAGUUUAUUCCAAAAUUCCCAAGGAAGCUUUAGCUGCUCUUCAAGUUAUCCAUGCUGAAAGUCAAAGAGAUCAAUUUUUUACGAAGUUGAGACCUGAACUUGAGACUGCAGGGCCUGGCUUACUGAACCGUACUCCUGUUCCCUCUUUGGACGUAUGUUUGGGAGAACUAUUAUGUGAAGAAGAAUGUCUUGCCACUCAACUCGGCAUAACCGAAGAAUCAAUGACUACUGAGAUGGUUAAUGUGGCGUACGCUGCUCAAGGAAAAGGAAAAAUGAAGACCCAGAUACAAUGCUACAGUUGCAAGGAGUUUGGGCAUAUUGCGAAGAACUGCAAUAAGAAAUUCUGUAAUUAUUGCAAAAAGGAUGGACACAUCAUUAAAGAUUGUCGCUUACGACCUCAGAAUAGGCAAGGCUCAACUUUUCACAACGCAAUCCAGUCUAACUCAGCUGUUUUGUCCUUUGCUUCCACUCCUACUGUUUCUUCGUCUACUCUUACACCUGAAAUUGUUCAAUAGAUGAUUGUUUCUGCUUUUUCUGCUCUUGGUCAUCAAGGUAAGAAAAAUCUACUUGUCUCUCCUUGGUUGGUCGAUUCUGCAGCCUCAAAUCAUAUGACAAGUAAUACAGAGGCUCUGAUUAAUAUUCGUAAGUAUAAAGGUGAUCAACAUAUUCAAACUGCCAAUGGGAGUACUCUUCCUAUUACAGCAAUUGGAAAUUUGGGAUCUUCUUUCACUAAUGUAUUUGUGUCACCAGAAUUAUCUACGAAUUUAAUUUCUGUUGGACAAUUGGUUGAUGAUAAUUGUGAAAUCCGUUUUAAUCAGAAUGGUGGUUGUGUGCAGGAUCAAGCGUCGGGGAAAGUGAUCGCGAAGGGCCUAAAGUGGGACGUUUAUUUCCUCUUCAAUUUUCCAUUUCUGAUUCAUUUGCUUGUACUGCUAUUAUUAAUAGUAAUGUUUGGCAUAAGAAAUUGGGACAUCCUAAUUCUAAUGUUUUGAUUCAUCUCUUAAAGAAUGGUUAUUUGGGCAAUAAAAAUUCAUCUUCUCAUGUGUCUUCUGAUUGCAAUUCUUGUAAACUUGGUAAAAGCAAAUCCUUACCUUUUCCUUCACAUGGUAGUCGUGCUUCCACAUGUUUUGAGAUUAUCGUAAGUCCCGUACUUUCGCAUGCUCAAUAUAAGUAUUUCGUAAUAUUUAUUGAUGAUUAUAGUCAUUUCACUUAGGUCUAUUUCCUUCGAGCUAAAACUGAUGUGUUCUCCAUCUUUCAAAACUUUGUUGCUUUUGUUGAGACCCAAUUUUCUACUAGCAUUAAGAUACUUCGUUGUGACUCUGGAGGGGGAAUACAUGUCCAACAAUUUCCAAGAAUAUCUAAAAACAAAAAGGGAUUCUCUCCCAACGAUCUUGACCUUACACUCCCCAAUAGAACGGGGUUGCGGAGCGUAAAAAAUGUCACUUUUAAGAUGUUGUUCGUACUUUAUUAAUUAAAUCUUCAGUACCCUCUAGAUUUUGGGUCGAAACUUUAUCGACAGAUGUCUAUUUGAUUAAUCGUCUUCCCUCUCCAAAUUUACAAUUUGACUCUCCGUAUUCUCGAUUAUUUAAUGUAGCACCUGAGUAUGAUUCACUUCAUAUAUUUGUCUAUGUUUGUUUUAUCCACUUACCUUCUACUGAAUAUCACAAACUUACAGCUCAGGCUGCUCGAUGUGCAUUCCUCGGGUAUAGUAAUGCACACAAAGGGUAUGUGUGUUAUGAUGUGGAUGCUAACAAAAUUCGUAUCUCUCGAAAUGUGGUUUUCUUUAACAACGAAUAUUUCUUCCAGUCUCGUGUUGUUCAUGAUUCUGCCUCUAUUUAGCUUCCUACGUUUGAUGAUAUAUCUUGUAAUGUUGAGCGCUUUAAGGCGGGAUUUGUAUACUAGAGAAGUCCCCUCCUGCCACCUUCGGACACUGAACCGUCGCCUGAUCCCAUCAUCCCUGAACCUCGAUGAUCUUCUUGGGUCUCACGCCCUCCAGAUAAGUAUGGUUUCUCGCAUAUUGCUAAUCAAGCUACCCUUGAUACUACUUCUGUGCCCAAAUUUUACUCUCAAGCUUCUAUUCAUGCAUUUUGGUGGAAAGCUAUGCAGGAAGAACUUCAGGCACUUUAGGAUAAUCAUACUUGGGAUAUUGUUCCAUAUCCUGAUGGGGUAAAACUUCUUGGAUGCAAAUGGGUAUAUACGAUUAAACUUCGGCCUGAUGGUACUAUAGAGAGAGAUAAAGCCCGAUUGGUGGCUCUUGGGAACUAUAAGGUGUAUGGUCUUGAUUAUGAGGAGACCUUCGCCCCUGUCGCAAAGAUGACUACUGUGAGGACUAUUAUGGCUAUAGCCGCUUCUAGAGAAUGGUCUCUCAAGCAGAUGGAUGUGAAAAAUGCAUUCUUACAUGGUGAUUUGAAGGAGGAAGUAUAUAUGAGUCCUCCUCCUGGUAUGUUCUCUCACUCUUCUACUGAGGUUUGUCGGUUGAGGCACUCUUUAUAUAGAUUGAAACGGGCACCAUGCGCUUGGUUUGAGAAGUUCCGUACCACUUUACUUGAUUUUCAUUUCACUCAAAGUCAGUCUGAUUCCUCCCUAUUUCUUAAACGCACUAUUGAUGGACUUGUUGUGCUUUUGGUAUAUGUGGAUGAUAUUGUGAUCACAGGAUCUGACACUCAGUCGAUUGUGCAACUUCAGCAGCAUCUUAACACCACCUUUCAUAUGAAAGAUCUUAGUUCUCUACAGUAUUUUCUCGGUUUUCAGGUGCAUUCCUAUCCUCAUGGUCUACUUAUACAUCAACACAAGUAUACCCAAGAGAUUCUCACCUCAGCUGGCCUUCAAUCUGGGAAUUCCGUGCUUACUCCACUAGAAGUUAAUUUCAAGCUCAGCCAAGAUGGAGGAGAACUCUUACCUGAUCCAUCCUUAUACCGACAGCUUGUAUGAAGUUUGAACUAUUUGACAAUUACUCGACCCGAUAUUUCUUUUGCUGUACAACAAGUCAGUCAGUUUAUGCAGGCUCCACGACAACCUCAUUUAGCAACCGUACGAAGAAUUCUUAGUUACCUCAAGGGUACAUCUGGUCGAGGGUUGUUUUUCCCUAUAGGGAAUUCUUUGCAAUUAAAGGGUUAUAGUGACGCUGAUUGGGUUGGUUGUGUGGACACUCGACGUUCAGUUACUGGUUGGUGCAUGUUUCUUGGUGAUGCACUUAUAUCUUGGAAGAGUAAGAAGCAGGAUCGUGUCUCGAAGUCCUCUACUGAGUAUCGUGCUAUGUCAUCCGCCUGCUCAGAAAUUGUGUGGCUUCGGGGUUUGUUAGGAGAACUUGGAAUCCCUUAGCUUGCUUCUACUCCGCUUUAUGCUCAUAACACCAGUGCUAUUCAGAUUGCCGCAAAUCUUGUAUUUCAUGAACGCACCAAGUAUAUUGAAGUAGAUUGCCAUUCUAUCCGUGAAGCCCUUGAUCAACAUGUGAUUACACUUCUUCACAUCUCCACGGAACAUCAAACUACAGAUGUUUUUACCAAGGCCCCUAUCUCGCCAAUGUCAUCAGUUCAUGAUUGACAAACUGAUGCUUUUUGAUCGACCAGUAUCAAUUUGAGGGGGGAUGUUAGCCAUAUAUAAUUGCAUGUAUUAUGGGAUUUUAUUGUAAUUUAUAUUAGGUUAAUAGGCUAAUUAGUUCUUACCAUAGUUAGAAAACUUACCAUAAUUGCUGUAAAUCUUAUCUUUAUAAUAGAGGUACUCCUCGAUGGAAGGGACAAUUUUUGAACAAUUCAAACCAUUUUAUCACUUGUUUCAAUCAAAAUGACUAGACAAUGUUCUAACUUUGUUGUUCACAGAUUUUUACAUCUCUAUUUGAUUCUAUUCAUUGGUCUGCAGUACAUUACAAACUAGCUCCAUUGGCAUCCUAGUUUCCUUGUAAUUGGAUGUGAAAUUUUUAAAUUAUUUUUUCCAGAGUUGUGGGGGUCCUAAUGCUCAUGGGAUGAAAAGUGCCAGUGGUAAAAUGGCAAAACAAGCUGCAUUGGCUUUUGUCAAGCGGACAUUGGAACGAUGUCGGGAAUUUGAUGUAACUGGAAAGAGCUGCUUUGGUGAGCCUUUGUAUAAAGAAAUUUUCCUUUCUGGAGUUGCACACCUCGGUGACAUACAAGCAGUGAAUUCAAGUGCUGAUAAUGAAUCUGGAAAGCAGCAGUUUAACACAUCUGGAUGUUCUAUUGAAGUUAGAACUUCAGGUUGGUCCCAUUGAUAGAUACCUGAAUGCUUAUCAACAUUUUAGUAUCUUUAAAUAAGUCUUACAUUUGCAGGUUUUCUGCAUUCUAAUUUAACUAGCACUACUUAGAAUAGAAACUAAUACAUAUCUCUGGCUAAAUCUGAUGGGACCAUCAGAUAUGUAUAUCCAUAAGCCCUGUGGAUGAGGUUUAUGUAUGAAACACGGUUCUCACGUUCUCAACCCUUGACAACAUGCAUUUGUGACUAAAUUUUUAUGAAAAUUAGCAUGAUAAGAUUUACUUUACUCUGAAGAUUGAAUGAUUUUCUUGCAAAAGAUUGUGGGCAAAAUAAAAUAAUGUGACAAAAACAUUUUUCCUGAUUAGUCUUUAAGACAUGCUUCUAGCUGUAAUGUGAAAUGUUUGAAGUUAAAAGGAUCCGAGUAGGUAGGUUAAUUUAGGCACAGUAUUGUAUACAUAGGGCAUUAAUGGUAUAAAAGACUUGUUUGACAAGCCUCUAGCUAUUUUUUCUUAUGUUAUGAUGGUACUUUUUUUGUCCAUUAUCUUAGUAUUGGAGGUGUUUUUUGUUUUGCAGCUCCCUUGGGAGCACAGCACAGCCCAUCUUCAAACAAUCAAGAAAUUUAUUCUUCUGGAGCUCCCAAAUCGGCAAAUCUAGGUUCUGAACAAACUACUGGCAAAGACAACAUCUGGUCGAAUAGGGCGAAGAAGUGCGAGUUACCGCCUGAUGAAACUGUUGGUGGUACACUUAGCUCAUCCACCAAUGUCUCAUCAGGCAUUGGAAGUUCUAUUUUGAGCAGCGCAAAAGGGAAAAGGAGUGAGAGAGAAGGAAAGGGAAAUAGCAGAGAGGCGCUAUCCAGAAGUGGAAGCACUAAAGUUGUUCGGGCUGCACUGGCCAAUGUCAAGGGAGAGAGAAAGCCUAAAGCAAAACCUAGACAGAAAACAGGUCAACUCACUGCUUCUGUCAAUGGCCCUCUUGGAAAGAUGUCUGAGCGGCGAAAAACAACAUUGCUUUCUGCACCCAUAUCAAAUGAGAGGAGUGGAAGUGGCACUGACAAUGAUAAAAAUGACGAUAAUGUAGACCUCUUGGAGGAACCCAUAGAUUUGUCUGGCUUGCAACUUCCUGGAAUGGGCGAUCUAGCUGUACAUGAUGAUCUUGCUGGUCAAGGAGAGGAUCUAGGGUCUUGGUUGAACAACAUUGAGGACGAUGUAUUGCAAGAUCAUGACUAUAUGGGUGGGCUUGAAAUUCCUAUGGAUGAUCUAGCAGACUUGAAUAUGAUGGUUUGACCUUUCAAUCUUUGUAUAUUCCUGUCUAUUAUACAAUCACAGGUGAAAAAUCGUUGUUCGUGGAAGACCAGUUACAAGGAUGUCAUGUGACUCAGUCCUGGCUGUGAGUGGGCCAUAUAUUCUUUUGGUUACUCCCUACACAAGUUGAGGUUUGAGUGAACCUCUGAGACGCUUGAAUGUUUUUCCUGUUCAAGUUGACACCUUGACUGUAAAGAUCAUUUUGUUUGACGUUAGUAUCUUAAUGAUAAGGUCUUAGAAAACCUAUAUUUUGGUUGUAGCAAUUACAUAUCAGAGAGCAAUGUCUUUGUACAUAAAAUUUAUAUUUUCAAUAAGUUACCAUUUUGUUUAUUUUGCAAUAUGGAGUAGGUGUUGUGAGAUGUUUUGACUUGUGUGUAUUAUGAGCUUCUAUUUCAGAUUUGAUUAAGUUGAUAACCUUAAAAGGUCGACUCCUUAUCUAUUGAAGUUACAGUUGCCCUAACUAUUUUGAGUGUGUAUGAUGCAGAAAGCCCUCAUUGUUCCCAUUGACAUCUGAGAUUCCUCGUUGAAUACGAAGGUAUUAACAGUGUAAGCUAAGAGGUGGUGCAUGUGCCGGAUUAUGGUCAAGUGGAUGAACUGUUUUAUUGGGGAUGCAAUCUACUGCAGACCAUAUAUCCUAUUUAAUCCCCAGGUUGACUUCCUUCAAAGUAUGCAUAAUUAACAUCCAGGACUUUCUCCGUGAUUGUUUAGUUAAAUGCUACUUAUAACUGGAGAGGAGCUACAAACUUGACUCCAGUAUAUAUAGGGUUUGCCAAUAUGUUGGUUAUCAAUUACUGAAUUGUAUGCUGUUGUGCUACUAAUGCAGCAUUUGUGAAGAAGUUCCGAGGCUUAUUUAAGAACUAGCUGCUUUUGAUUUUCCAAAAGUCACGUGCUCUUCACUAAUUUCCUCAUAUUGUCAUAGGAUAAUUAUAUAUUAUUCAUUUUAUUUCAUUUUUGUAUUAUAAAGUUUGUUUCAUUGACUAUGCAUCACUUAGUAUUGCAUAAUAUGUCCUCGAGAAAUUUCCUCUAAAUCAAGGAAAUAUUAUGAUUAUCUUGCUCCAGGGGUGAGAGAUUAUGUGGCUGUCUUUAUUUUCGUUGGAGUUACCCUACAGACUCUUGGAGGCUGAAUGCAUUUCUUGACUACAGUUAUUUGAAAACAGCAUGCCUUGGCAGCAAGUAUUUGAUGGCCCAAUAUUUUGGACACACUUCCUGUGCCAUCUGUCUUGGGAAAAUUUAUUCCUGCUGCUGUUCGAAGCAGCCCAAAAUAUAUUCUGUCACAGAUUCUCACUCCAGAUAUGUGGUAAAUCAUUGUUUUUACCUGUUUGAUUUUGAAGAUUUAUUUAUCUGAAUUUUAGCAAUUAGUUUUGCUAAAUUACAGGGGUAACAUCCUUCUGAAUAUUGUGGGUUUCAAUUUUUCUGAAGGUGUUUUUUCCAAUAAAAAUAUUUUUAAACACUGCAGACUAUUACAUGAAUACAAAACUUCUGUGCCAAUGAUGCAGUCAAAGUAAGUCCACUUAUGAUGCCCUAUGUUGCCUGCUACUCACAGUAAAUAUUUUUGUAUGAGGAUGUGGAGAAGUGAAUCCUUUUGUUCUGGUAUGUGGAUUUUUAUUAUUUAUAUCUGUCCAUCACACUUCACAAGUAGGAACAGUAUUCCUACCAAAUGAUAAAAGUUACAAAUCUCUGAGUCUCACAGCUUAAUGUUUAUUUCAUUCAGACAGGAACUCCUCUCCAAGUGGCAGCACUUGUACAAUUGAUUGUGCAGAAUAUGCUACCAGAAAUUACCUCUUCAUGUAAGGUAUUCGUAGUCAAUUUGUUUGAAGCAUUUUACUAAGUUCUUAUGUCAUUUUCAAAUAUCUAAACCUUUCACUGAUAGUACAAGCUAAAGAAUUAAAAAUCUGAAAAUAAAUCUAUCACAUUCGAAAAAUGUUGUGCUAAUAAAAAGGUCAGCGUUAAACAAAAUGUGGACGAAAUGAAAAUGCUUAUAUGAUUGUUGAUACUGCAAUGGAGGAUAAUAUGGAAGAGCCGUAUGAUUUCAGAACUUGUUCAGAUGUGAUGUAAUGCUAUCUGUAAAGUUGUGUGCAAGGCUUUAUUAGAUGUUUUAUUUUUAUUUAAUUGUUUUAUUUUUACUAAUUAAGGUCUAAUUUAUAUUUUUAAUUAUCUAGGGUUGAAUUUAUAUUUCAUUAGGAGUUUAGGAAGUAUGAAUGCAAUUUUAAUUAGGUUUGCUCUAGGUAUUAGAGCCACAACUGUAUUUCAGGGACAUUUUGAUUGAUUGACAAAUUAUAUUAAUAUAAAUGUGAGUUUUUUCUUCAAUACUGAACCAAAUCAAGGUUUUCGCUUGUUAUUGUUCUUGCUCACUUCUAUCUGCAUCAAGAUGGCCUGCACCAAUUUGUAGAAUAUCACUUGAUACAUUAGGUUAUCCCAGGGAAACAAAUUAUUCCAGAAAUUUGGCAAAAAGUGACAACAUUGAGUAUUUACAAGUGAAGUUUGGCCAAGGAGUGCACCAAGAGAUAACAUUUGACAGAAUAAAUAAGACAAAUUGCAUCCUCUAUCCCCAAACUAUACCCCAUUUGCAGUUUUAUCCCCAACAAUUUUUCUUGGCACUGAGCACCUCAACUUUGUUUCCAUCCAAAAUGGUUGUUAAGUUGGCAACGAAAGGCAUUCACACUUAAAACUCAAAUAAACAAAAAAAUAAAUACAAGGAAGGAAGGAGGAAGAAGAAAAGAGAAAAAAAAAAAAAAAAAAAGAAGAAGAAGAAGAAAAAAAGGAAAACAAACACCUUCUUUCUCAAUCCUCUGCAGCACCCACCGCCACCAAUGCUACCUCUUCGCGUGCAAAUGUGAGUAUAGGGUGGGGCUGCGAGUGUAAUUAAUGUGGAAAAAAAUUAGAAAAAGGCAAGAGCUUGUUUUGUAGGUAAAAUGUGGAUGAAUAACAAAAUCAUAAUAUAUUGACAAUCAGUUGCAGUAAACCUCUGUUACCUUGGUUUAUCUGAGUUGCGCAACCAUUGUCGUCUAUAUAGUCCUUUUGAGAACAAUUGUUCAAUAACUUAUAUUCCUGGCAUUCAUGUAGAAGGAACUGCAGAUAUGCACCUUGGAAAGCAAAAUACUUCUAGCAAUCACUAUCUUGAUAUUGUCAAAGCCAUGCUCUUGGUGAUCUGUUUGGGGCUUUCAAUAUAUAUGCUGGGCUUUUUGACUGAAAACUGGGAUGGAUCGUGGUCAUGAGUACUUUACUUUGUUAGCAUUAUGGGAAUAUGAAGGCGGAUGGUUUCCUCGUGCUGCAUUAUUAUUGCAAGUUUAAUGAAAGGGUUUGUUGGGUGCAGUUACCCCCACUGGAGUUUGAGGGAAGGUCUUUGAGAUGGAAAAGAAAUAGUGAGAUGUCAUGUAAAUUGUAAUUCUGACGAAUCAAUGUGAAAAAACUUGUUCUUUUUGUUACGUAUUGUCAUAAUUAGCCAACCUACUUGGGCCUAUGGCCCACUCAAUCCGAACCAUGUGGCGCUCUAACCGAGGUGGCACGUAUGGCCGAGGCCCUUCAUGUCGAGACCCAUAUACCGAGGCCUGUGAAAGUAGCCGAAGCCCUAAAGCGGAAGUAUUACAUAUGGCAGAAGCCCUGAAUCCAAAGCCGAAGCAGAAGCCUCCGAACCGUGAAGGAAUGUCUUCCAUGAUUACUUCUCCCAAGAGAUCUUCUACAUAAAGAUCUUACUUGAAUGAUUGAUGAAACGUUUGUCAUAAGUGUACAUGUCAAGUUUUUUCAUUAGCAUGGGGGUUCUGCAUAAGCAAUAAAUGCGCAGCAAGCUAGCAAGUCAAGGAUGAUGCCUAGGAUUGGAUGUUUGGAUUAAAGAGAUGAGGCCGCGUGCCACCUCAUCCAAGGACUGUCAUGUACCACUAUAAAUACUUCCCUUGUGUAACAUUAAAGGGCUAAUGCAAGAAUCAAUACAAGAAACCAUACUUUACUCUCUUUCAAAUUAUCUUGCAACACAAUACAAGUUAAUACAUAUUUACAUGCACAUUCAUGAGCACUUAUUGGUAAUUAUUGUACAAUCGGAUUACGAACAUCCCAUCGGAUUCCGAACGUUCUCG
rnacentral:lncRNA from 1 species